AAGAUGUUAGUAUAACCCUAUUACUCUACCUUGUCAAGGUAACAUUGUAGGUUAAAGUCCUACACAUCUUA
rnacentral:tRNA from 1 species